CUUCGGUAAAUUCCGUUUUCUGCCGAUGCCUGACGACUCGAAUGGCGAACGAGGGUUCGUAGAGCAGGGUCGCGUUUGGGGGCAGGGCCUAGACCAUGGGCGGCUCAGAGCCUCACAUCACCACCAAUUACAGGCAAUUUCAGAAAAUUCUUGGAAAAUUCAGGAAACUUUUGGAAUCCGACACCUUCAUCAUCAUCAUCGUGGUGGUGCUGGUAGUAUUUCUGGCCGUUUCGAUCUUCUGCUGCAUCCGCCGGCGCCGUCAGGACCAGAAGCUCUUAAUGCAACGAUUGACUAGGAUUGUGGUCGUCAGUUCUGAAUCCGACAACCAAAACCAACCGAGUACGUCUCAGUGCCUCUCAUCCUCCUAACUAC